UAAGGGCGCACGGUGGAUGCCUUGGCACUAGAAGCCGAUGAAGGACGUUACUAACGACGAUAUGCUUUGGGGAGCUGUAAGUAAGCUUUGAUCCAGAGAUUUCCGAAUGGGGAAACCCAGCAUGAGUUAUGUCAUGUUAUCGAUAUGUGAAUACAUAGCAUAUCAGAAGGCACACCCGGAGAACUGAAACAUCUUAGUACCCGGAGGAAGAGAAAGAAAAUUCGAUUCCCUUAGUAGCGGCGAGCGAAACGGGAAGAGCCCAAACCAACAAGCUUGCUUGUUGGGGUUGUAGGACACUCUAUACGGAGUUACAAAGGACGACAUUAGACGAAUCAUCUGGAAAGAUGAAUCAAAGAAGGUAAUAAUCCUGUAGUCGAAAAUGUUGUCUCUCUUGAGUGGAUCCUGAGUACGACGGAGCACGUGAAAUUCCGUCGGAAUCUGGGAGGACCAUCUCCUAAGGCUAAAUACUCUCUAGUGACCGAUAGUGAACCAGUACCGUGAGGGAAAGGUGAAAAGCACCCCGGAAGGGGAGUGAAAUAGAACCUGAAACCGUGUGCUUACAAGUAGUCAGAGCCCGUUAAUGGGUGAUGGCGUGCCUUUUGUAGAAUGAACCGGCGAGUUACGAUUUGAUGCAAGGUUAAGCAGUAAAUGUGGAGCCGUAGCGAAAGCGAGUCUGAAUAGGGCGUUUAGUAUUUGGUCGUAGACCCGAAACCAGGUGAUCUACCCUUGGUCAGGUUGAAGUUCAGGUAACACUGAAUGGAGGACCGAACCGACUUACGUUGAAAAGUGAGCGGAUGAACUGAGGGUAGCGGAGAAAUUCCAAUCGAACCUGGAGAUAGCUGGUUCUCUCCGAAAUAGCUUUAGGGCUAGCCUCAAGUGAUGAUUAUUGGAGGUAGAGCACUGUUUGGACGAGGGGCCCCUCUCGGGUUACCGAAUUCAGACAAACUCCGAAUGCCAAUUAAUUUAACUUGGGAGUCAGAACAUGGGUGAUAAGGUCCGUGUUCGAAAGGGAAACAGCCCAGACCACCAGCUAAGGUCCCAAAAUAUAUGUUAAGUGGAAAAGGAUGUGGCGUUGCCCAGACAACUAGGAUGUUGGCUUAGAAGCAGCCAUCAUUUAAAGAGUGCGUAAUAGCUCACUAGUCGAGUGACACUGCGCCGAAAAUGUACCGGGGCUAAACAUAUUACCGAAGCUGUGGAUUGUCCUUUGGACAAUGGUAGGAGAGCGUUCUAAGGGCGUUGAAGCAUGAUCGUAAGGACAUGUGGAGCGCUUAGAAGUGAGAAUGCCGGUGUGAGUAGCGAAAGACGGGUGAGAAUCCCGUCCACCGAUUGACUAAGGUUUCCAGAGGAAGGCUCGUCCGCUCUGGGUUAGUCGGGUCCUAAGCUGAGGCCGACAGGCGUAGGCGAUGGAUAACAGGUUGAUAUUCCUGUACCACCUAUAAUCGUUUUAAUCGAUGGGGGGACGCAGUAGGAUAGGCGAAGCGUGCGAUUGGAUUGCACGUCUAAGCAGUAAGGCUGAGUAUUAGGCAAAUCCGGUACUCGUUAAGGCUGAGCUGUGAUGGGGAGAAGACAUUGUGUCUUCGAGUCGUUGAUUUCACACUGCCGAGAAAAGCCUCUAGAUAGAAAAUAGGUGCCCGUACCGCAAACCGACACAGGUAGUCAAGAUGAGAAUUCUAAGGUGAGCGAGCGAACUCUCGUUAAGGAACUCGGCAAAAUGACCCCGUAACUUCGGGAGAAGGGGUGCUCUUUAGGGUUAACGCCCAGAAGAGCCGCAGUGAAUAGGCCCAAGCGACUGUUUAUCAAAAACACAGGUCUCUGCUAAACCGUAAGGUGAUGUAUAGGGGCUGACGCCUGCCCGGUGCUGGAAGGUUAAGAGGAGUGGUUAGCUUCUGCGAAGCUACGAAUCGAAGCCCCAGUAAACGGCGGCCGUAACUAUAACGGUCCUAAGGUAGCGAAAUUCCUUGUCGGGUAAGUUCCGACCCGCACGAAAGGCGUAACGAUUUGGGCACUGUCUCAACGAGAGACUCGGUGAAAUCAUAGUACCUGUGAAGAUGCAGGUUACCCGCGACAGGACGGAAAGACCCCGUGGAGCUUUACUGUAGCCUGAUAUUGAAAUUCGGCACAGCUUGUACAGGAUAGGUAGGAGCCUUUGAAACGUGAGCGCUAGCUUACGUGGAGGCGCUGGUGGGAUACUACCCUAGCUGUGUUGGCUUUCUAACCCGCACCACUUAUCGUGGUGGGAGACAGUGUCAGGCGGGCAGUUUGACUGGGGCGGUCGCCUCCUAAAAGGUAACGGAGGCGCUCAAAGGUUCCCUCAGAAUGGUUGGAAAUCAUUCAUAGAGUGUAAAGGCAUAAGGGAGCUUGACUGCGAGACCUACAAGUCGAGCAGGGUCGAAAGACGGACUUAGUGAUCCGGUGGUUCCGCAUGGAAGGGCCAUCGCUCAACGGAUAAAAGCUACCCCGGGGAUAACAGGCUUAUCUCCCCCAAGAGUUCACAUCGACGGGGAGGUUUGGCACCUCGAUGUCGGCUCAUCGCAUCCUGGGGCUGUAGUCGGUCCCAAGGGUUGGGCUGUUCGCCCAUUAAAGCGGUACGCGAGCUGGGUUCAGAACGUCGUGAGACAGUUCGGUCCCUAUCCGUCGUGGGCGUAGGAAAUUUGAGAGGAGCUGUCCUUAGUACGAGAGGACCGGGAUGGACAUACCUCUGGUGUACCAGUUGUCGUGCCAACGGCAUAGCUGGGUAGCUAUGUGUGGACGGGAUAAGUGCUGAAAGCAUCUAAGCAUGAAGCCCCCCUCAAGAUGAGAUUUCCCAACUUCGGUUAUAAGAUCCCUCAAAGAUGAUGAGGUUAAUAGGUUCGAGGUGGAAGCAUGGUGACAUGUGGAGCUGACGAAUACUAAUCGAUCGAAGACUUAAUCAA
rnacentral:rRNA from 1 species